UUUGUAAAUGGCCGCAGUAUCUUGACUGUGCUAAGGUAGCAUAAUCAUUAGUCUUUUAAUUGGAGGCUGGUAUGAACGGUGAGACGAGAAAAAAGCUGUCUCUGGGAUAAAGGUCUUGAAUUUUAUUUUUGAGUGAAAAAGCUUAAAUGAAUUUGGGGGACGAUCAGACCCUUUGGAGCUUUAUUUAUUUUUUACUUACGAUAUUUUUAAAUAUAAAAGGCAGGAAGUAAAUUUUGUUGGGGCGACAGGGAGUUAAAAAUAUCACUCUUUUUUAUAAACACUUCUCAGUGGAUAAUUGAUCCUUAGUGAAAGAUUAAAAGAUUAAGUUACCCUAGGGAUAACAGCGUAAUCUUUUUGGAGAGUUCAAAUCGAUAAAAAGGUUUGCGACCUCGAUGUUGGAUUAAGAAAUUAGCAAGGUGCAGAAGUUUUGCUGGAGAGUCUGUUCGACUUUUAAUUUCUUACA
rnacentral:rRNA from 1 species